GAUUUACAUUUGAGUGAGUGGCGAACUGGUGAGUAACACGUGGGAAACCUGCCCAGAAGCGGGGGAUAACACCUGGAAACAGAUGCUAAUACCGCAUAACAACUUGGACCGCAUGGUCCGAGCUUGAAAGAUGGCUUCGGCUAUCACUUUUGGAUGGUCCCGCGGCGUAUUAGCUAGAUGGUGGGGUAACGGCUCACCAUGGCAAUGAUACGUAGCCGACCUGAGAGGGUAAUCGGCCACAUUGGGACUGAGACACGGCCCAAACUCCUACGGGAGGCAGCAGUAGGGAAUCUUCCACAAUGGACGAAAGUCUGAUGGAGCAACGCCGCGUGAGUGAAGAAGGGUUUCGGCUCGUAAAACUCUGUUGUUAAAGAAGAACAUAUCUGAGAGUAACUGUUCAGGUAUUGACGGUAUUUAACCAGAAAGCCACGGCUAACUACGUGCCAGCAGCCGCGGUAAUACGUAGGUGGCAAGCGUUGUCCGGAUUUAUUGGGCGUAAAGCGAGCGCAGGCGGUUUUUUAAGUCUGAUGUGAAAGCCUUCGGCUCAACCGAAGAAGUGCAUCGGAAACUGGGAAACUUGAGUGCAGAAGAGGACAGUGGAACUCCAUGUGUAGCGGUGAAAUGCGUAGAUAUAUGGAAGAACACCAGUGGCGAAGGCGGCUGUCUGGUCUGUAACUGACGCUGAGGCUCGAAAGUAUGGGUAGCAAACAGGAUUAGAUACCCUGGUAGUCCAUACCGUAAACGAUGAAUGCUAAGUGUUGGAGGGUUUCCGCCCUUCAGUGCUGCAGCUAACGCAUUAAGCAUUCCGCCUGGGGAGUACGGCCGCAAGGCUGAAACUCAAAGGAAUUGACGGGGGCCCGCACAAGCGGUGGAGCAUGUGGUUUAAUUCGAAGCUACGCGAAGAACCUUACCAGGUCUUGACAUACUAUGCAAAUCUAAGAGAUUAGACGUUCCCUUCGGGGACAUGGAUACAGGUGGUGCAUGGUUGUCGUCAGCUCGUGUCGUGAGAUGUUGGGUUAAGUCCCGCAACGAGCGCAACCCUUAUUAUCAGUUGCCAGCAUUAAGUUGGGCACUCUGGUGAGACUGCCGGUGACAAACCGGAGGAAGGUGGGGAUGACGUCAAAUCAUCAUGCCCCUUAUGACCUGGGCUACACACGUGCUACAAUGGAUGGUACAACGAGUUGCGAACUCGCGAGAGUAAGCUAAUCUCUUAAAGCCAUUCUCAGUUCGGAUUGUAGGCUGCAACUCGCCUACAUGAAGUCGGAAUCGCUAGUAAUCGCGGAUCAGCAUGCCGCGGUGAAUACGUUCCCGGGCCUUGUACACACCGCCCGUCACACCAUGAGAGUUUGUAACACCCAAAGUCGGUGG
rnacentral:rRNA from 2 species